CCCUUAGAUGUUCUGGGCUGCACGCGCGCUACACUGACGCACGCAACAGGUGCCUGCUCCGAGAGGACUGGGUAAUCAUUUGAGUGUGCGUCGUGAUGGGGAUAGAAUAUUGUAAUUAUUACUCUUCAACGAGGAAUUCCUAGUAAGCGCCAGUCAGCAGCUUGCGCUGAUUACGUCCCUGCCCUUUGUACACACCGCCCGUCGCUCCUACCGAUUGGGUGUGCUGGUGAAAUGUUCGGAUCGGCCGUUUGUCGCGGUUUCCGCGUCAUGUGGCUGAGAAGUUCAUUAAACCCUCCCACCUAGAGGAAGGAGAAGUCGUAACA
rnacentral:rRNA from 1 species